AUUGAACGCUGGCGGCAUGCCUAACACAUGCAAGUCGAACGGGGGCAGCAAUGCUCUAGUGGCGGACGGGUGAGGAAUACGUAGGAACCGGCCCACGAGUGGGGGACAACCUGGGGAAACCCAGGCUAAUACCGCAUACGCUCGCGAGAGGAAAGCGGGGGACCUUCGGGCCUCGCGCUGGUGGACGGGCCUACGUCCGAUUAGCUAGUUGGUGGGGUAAAAGCCUACCAAGGCGACGAUCGGUAGCUGGUCUGAGAGGAUGAUCAGCCACACUGGGACUGAGACACGGCCCAGACUCCUACGGGAGGCAGCAGUGGGGAAUAUUGGACAAUGGGCGCAAGCCUGAUCCAGCAAUGCCGCGUGGGUGAAGAAGGCCUGCGGGUUGUAAAGCCCUUUAAGCGGGGAGGAAAGCCGGGGCGUCAAUAGCGCCCUGGGGUGACGUUACCCGCAGAAUAAGCACCGGCUAACUCCGUG
rnacentral:rRNA from 1 species